rnacentral:rRNA from 1 species
GGCUCAGAUUGAACGCUGGCGGCAUGCCUUACACAUGCAAGUCGAACGGCAGCACGGGUGCUUGCACCUGGUGGCGAGUGGCGAACGGGUGAGUAAUACAUCGGAACGUACCUUAUCGUGGGGGAUAACGCAGCGAAAGCUGUGCUAAUACCGCAUACGCCCUGAGGGGGAAAGCGGGGGAUCGAAAGACCUCGCGCGAUUAGAGCGGCCGAUAUCGGAUUAGCUAGUUGGUGAGGUAAAGGCUCACCAAGGCGACGAUCCGUAGCUGGUUUGAGAGGACGACCAGCCACACUGGGACUGAGACACGGCCCAGACUCCUACGGGAGGCAGCAGUGGGGAAUUUUGGACAAUGGGGGAAACCCUGAUCCAGCCAUUCCGCGUGUGCGAUGAAGGCCUUCGGGUUGUAAAGCACUUUUGGCAGGAAAGAAAUCGCAUCAAUUAAUACUUGGUGUGGAUGACGGUACCUGCAGAAUAAGCACCGGCUAACUACGUG